UCCAAGCAUCGCCAGAGUAUUGCUGUAGU
rnacentral:sRNA from 1 species